GACGAACGCUGGCGGCGUGCUUAACACAUGCAAGUCGAACGAAGAGCGAUGGAAGCUUGCUUCUAUCAAUCUUAGUGGCGCACGGGUGAGUAACGCGUAAUCAACCUGCCCUUCAGAGGGGGACAACAGUUGGAAACGACUGCUAAUACCGCAUACGAUCUAAUCUCGGCAUCGAGGAUAGAUGAAAGGUGGCCUCUACAUGUAAGCUAUCACUGAAGGAGGGGAUUGCGUCUGAUUAGCUAGGUGGAGGGGUAACGGCCCACCAAGGCGAUGAUCAGUAGCCGGUCUGAGAGGAUGAACGGCCACAUUGGGACUGAGACACGGCCCAGACUCCUACGGGAGGCAGCAGUGGGGAAUCUUCCGCAAUGGACGAAAGUCUGACGGAGCAACGCCGCGUGAGUGAUGACGGCCUUCGGGUUGUAAAGCUCUGUUAAUCGGGACGAAAGGCCUUCUUGCGAAUAGUGAGAAGGAUUGACGGUACCGGAAGAGAAAGCCACGGCUAACUACGUG
rnacentral:rRNA from 1 species